UAUUUCCAGAAACCUGCUCAGCCAGCUCCUGAUGGACAACACAUGUAGGAAGAAGUUGUUCCCACUGAAGCAGGAGAGCAAGGAGGUACAUCUUGAUUGUGCACUGAACCAGAAAUAUUUGGUUGACUUCAACAAGAAAGAUAAAGACCAGCAACGUCCAGACCCAGCAUCAUCUGGUCUCAGAAAGUGCAAGAGAGCUGGAAUUGGACACACACCAGUAAGAGAGCUUCCUGAAGAAUAAGUUGCUUUCUCAGGAGUCCCUGAUGACAAACAUCCUGAAUGAAAACAACACUUGAGAGACAACUUGGGGGACCUCCUUUCAUUAUGUGUGCAAGAGGAGAAACAGCAAUACAUCUGUGC
ensembl:lncRNA